CAUAGGCAGUGGCUUGGUUAAGGGAACGGAACCCACCGGAGCCGUAGCGAAAGCGAGUCUUAAUAGGGCGAUUGUCACUGCUUAUGGACCCGAACCUGGGUGAUCUAUCCAUGACCAGGAUGAAGCUUGGAUGAAACUAAGCAGAGGUCCGAACUGACUGAUGUUGAAGAAUCAGCGGAUGAGUUGUGGUUAGGGGUGAAAUGCCACUCAAACCCAGAGCUAGCUGG
rnacentral:ncRNA from 3 species